GAAGUCCAGUAGCACAUCCAGUUUUUCUGCUUCAUUUCAGAGAGAGAGCUCAGAGCCAGUGAACCCGGACUAACCGCGUAUUUCUGUCUCUGUGUUUGUCUCUGUUCACGUCCAGUAAGCUCCGGAUCCGCUCAGGAAUAUGUGCAGCAGAAAUCCAGUGUUUGUCCGAGGCUUUGAGUUCUGUUUGUCAGGAUUACUCCUUUAUCUGUUCAGCAGAGGCAGAACAAAACAGAGCCUGGUGUCCUGCUCUCUUCAGGAAACAGAGUCCAGAGAAUGAGCAGAUGUUGUUCCAAACAUGCAGGACCCAUCUGCACCCAGCUCUGCCACCUUCCUCACUCACCUGCCUGGUCACCACCGUCUGGAUCCCUCCCUCAGUACCCCAGGACCCCCACCAGCUAUCCCUUCACUGUGCACUUCUGCAAUAAAACUUUGGGAAACAA